rnacentral:rRNA from 1 species
GACGUAGGUGGCAAGCGUUGUCUGGAAUUAUUGGGCGUAAAGCGCGCGCAGGUGGUUUCUUAAGUCUGAUGUGAAAGCCCACGGCUCAACCGUGGAGGGUCAUUGGAAACUGGGGGACUUGAGUACAGAAGAGAAGAGUGGAAUUCCACGUGUAGCGGUGAAAUGCGUAGAGAUGUGGAGGAACACCAGUGGCGAAGGCGACUCUUUGGUCUGUAACUGACGCUGAGGCGCGAAAGCGUGGGGAGCAAACAGG